ACUCGACUAAGCGAGAAUAAAAAGGCUUUAGGCUUAGAGCGUUCGCCCUUCGGGGCGGGGUAGUA
rnacentral:ribozyme from 10 species